rnacentral:rRNA from 1 species
AUUGAACGCUGGCGGCAUGCCUUACACAUGCAAGUCGAACGGCAGCACGGGAGCAAUCCUGGUGGCGAGUGGCGAACGGGUGAGUAAUAUAUCGGAACGUGCCCAGUCGUGGGGAUAACGUAGCGAAAGCUACGCUAAUACCGCAUACGAUCUAUGGAUGAAAGCGGGGGAUCGCAAGGACCUCGCGCGAUUGGAGCGGCCGAUAUCAGAUUAGGUAGUUGGUGAGGUAAAGGCUCACCAAGCCGACGAUCUGUAGCUGGUCUGAGAGGACGACCAGCCACACUGGGACUGAGACACGGCCCAGACUCCUACGGAGGCAGCAGUGGGGAAUUUUGGGACAAUGGGCGCAAGCCUGAUCCAGCCAUUCCGCGUGCAGGAUGAAGGCCCUCGGGUUGUAAACUGCUUUUGUACGGAACGAAAAGGGUUUCUAUUAAUACUAGGAGCUCAUGACGGUACCGUAAGAAUAAG